rnacentral:sRNA from 1 species
AAAAAAUAAAUUAUCACCGCGGUAUACCGCGGGUUAAAAUCUAGUUGCUUUGAAGAUUUAUCAUAAGAGGCAGGGAUAUCAUGGCUAAUUUAAAAGGGCAGAUGCAGGUAUAUCUUAUCUA